UACGGGGGGGGCAAGCGUUGUUCGGAAUUACUGGGCGUAAAGGGCCAGUAGGCGGCCAACUAAGUCGGAUGUGAAAUCCCCAGGCUUAACCUGGGAACUGCAUCCGAUACUGGAUGGCUUGAGGUUGGGAGAGGGAUGCGGAAUUCCAGGUGUAGCGGUGAAAUGCGUAGAUAUCUGGAGGAACACCGGUGGCGAAGGCGGCAUCCUGGACCAAUUCUGACGCUGAGGAGCGAAAGCCAGGGGAGCAAACAGG
rnacentral:rRNA from 1 species